rnacentral:tRNA from 1 species
UGCGGAAUGAGGCACCGGAGCCGGCGCGGCUCGCAGCCGUGUCGGCUGGUUCGUGUCCGGCUACCGCAG